rnacentral:lncRNA from 1 species
UACUGCAAAGUUUGGGAUCCACAGUCUACAAAACCCCACAGCUCCUAAGAAUUCUCUCACCUGCCUUCUGCCCUUAAGCUCCGGUAGAUUGCAAAUAACCUGCUUUCUUUCUGUUCCCGAGCUGCGUUCGGACCCAUGUCUUAUUGUAAAUCCCACGCAAGGUACCUGCCGUCGGAAGAUUUGAGCUUUCUUCUUGAACACCUCAUACCCACAGUCCUCCAGGCGCCAGUGGGAUCAAGAGAGGGCAACAUUGCAACUCUCCAUGCUCCUGCAAUAUCCAUGGCUAUUCUGUAGACAGAAAGACAACAGGUACAAAGCCCUAAGGAUUAUAAAGGUAUGCUGCUUACCAUCAUCUUAGUGACCAAGGCAGCGAAGCUGUUUCUGUACCUUGGAACAGUCUUCCCUGACAAGCCAGAGAACAGUGAUAAAGCCACCAGCCUUGGGAUCAGGACUGAAAAGGCAAGAGUGAUGGAGAUUUCUCCUGCGCUAAGCCAAGAGAAGGUUUCAGCACUUCAGACAGCUCCCACCGAAGUAGCCGCGCUCCCAGCUGCUUGCAGAUGUUGAAAAGGAAAGCCUCGGUUUGUCUUGAGGUUGUCAGCAGGUGCAAGACACGUAAUAAAAUGCAAUGUGUUCCUAA